rnacentral:lncRNA from 1 species
CAACCAUGAGAGGAGCUUAGGAGCAGGGGUGCCCUGACUUGGGGAAGGAAUUCCUCUAUCAAAUCAGAUGCAGAAUCUGAGGCCAGAGAAGUCGGGUGACAAGCCUUCAGAGUAAGCCAAGCGAGUCUUUGGGGAAGCUGGGCUGAGAGGCCUCCUGACUCCUCUUCCAGGGUUUGUCAGCUCAGACAGACUGCUUCAAAAUCUCUCUGUUGGUUCCUGCUGAGCUGGUAGUGUUGGACUAUUAUAUCUAACCCACUGGAAGAGCACCUUCUGCAUUCCAGGCCCUUGGAUGCUGGUAGAAAAUGCACAGAUGAAUGAGCCAGAAUCCCUGCCUUCAAGGAGCUGGAAAUCUAGCCUGGAGACAAACUUAGCAAACAAGCCGCUGCUAUAAAAUGCACUAAGUGCUACGAUAGAGGAGCAGAGGACCAUCGGAAACAGGAAGGAGAAGGUGUCUUGCUCCCUGCUAGAGGAGCAAGCUUUCAGAGGAGGAAAUGUUUGAAAACCCUAAUGGAUACACAGCAGAUGAUGGUGUGCCUAGGCAAGAAGAGCAAAUUCACUGUGGCAGACGUUCAGAGAGUGGUGGGAGAUGGGACCAUAAGGGAGGUCGUCAUCAUUAUGAAGAACUUUACACGCCGUACUUACUAAUCGGGAUUUUAUCCUGCAUCUGCGGCAUGGUGUGCUCCACAUAAGGAGGAUAUUGAGAUGAAUAAGAUACCACCCUGCUCUUGAGUGGCUCCCAAACUAUGAAGAAAGGCAGACACAAGUAAUUUGUCACCUCUUCUGAGAAACUGUCCCACAUUCCUUCUGAGAGAUGUUAUUCAUUUUGGCGAGUCUUCACCAGACUGGGAGGACAAACUGGUAAUAUCCACAGUAAUGUCUAACAUUUUGUUUCCUGACAUCACCAACUACAUGAUGUAGAAACUCAGCCCCCUGCCUGCUGAGCAUUCCCACCAGGACUUUCUGGACGUUCCCGUGGAGUGUCCACAGUGCCUCACAUGUGCUCCUGGAUAUGUCUGUCCCCAGCAGGAAAUCCACCUCUACUUUUGUUGUGGGCAGUGCUUUUCAUCAAGUUCCACUGCUUUUUCCCGGAAAACUGUGGUCUCCUCAGGGUCCUCUCUUGCUCCUAUGGACCCCAUCACCUCCAUCCUGCUCUGGAGACACUGUGAUCUCCACCAGGAAUUGUUCACUCCUCUGCCACCCCGUAUACCACCACUGCUGUAUUUGAGCAAUGUUUCCAAAGUGUACUUCCAAGAUCCAAGUUCUGCAGAAUGCCACAUGUGUUCUAGAGAUUUUGAUUUUAACGCUGGAUUCCAU